rnacentral:tRNA from 1 species
GGUCCUAUAGCUCAGUUGGUUAGAGCACCUGACUCAUAAUCAGGGGGUCCCAGGUUCGAGCCCUGGUGGGACCA